GACGAACGCUGGCGGCGUGCUUAACACAUGCAAGUCGAACGGUGAAGGGAUCAGUUUUCUGGUUCCGGAUGAGUGGCGAACGGGUGAGUAACACGUGAGUAACCUGCCCCCUUCUUCUGGAUAACCGCAUGAAAGUGUGGCUAAUACGGGAUAUUCUGGGUCUGUCGCAUGACGGGUCUGGGAAAGAUGCGCCUUUGGGUGUUUUUGGUGGGGGAUGGGCUCGCGGCCUAUCAGCUCGUUGGUGGGGUGAUGGCCUACCAAGGCGGUGACGGGUAGCCGGCCUGAGAGGGUGGACGGUCACACUGGGACUGAGACACGGCCCAGACUCCUACGGGAGGCAGCAGUGGGGAAUAUUGCACAAUGGGCGCAAGCCUGAUGCAGCGACGCCGCGUGAGGGAUGGAGGCCUUCGGGUUGUGAACCUCUUUCGCCAGUGAAGCAGGCCCGCCUCGUUGUGGGUGGGUUGACGGUAGCUGGAUAAGAAGCGCCGGCUAACUACGUGCCAGCAGCCGCGGUAAUACGUAGGGCGCGAGCGUUGUCCGGAAUUAUUGGGCGUAAAGAGCUCGUAGGCGGCUGGUCGCGUCUGUCGUGAAAUCCUCUGGCUUAACUGGGGGCUUGCGGUGGGUACGGGCCGGCUUGAGUGCGGUAGGGGAGACUGGAACUCCUGGUGUAGCGGUGGAAUGCGCAGAUAUCAGGAAGAACACCGGUGGCGAAGGCGGGUCUCUGGGCCGUUACUGACGCUGAGGAGCGAAAGCGUGGGGAGCGAACAGG
rnacentral:rRNA from 1 species